CGGAGUAUAGCUCAGUUUGAUAGAGCACUGUGUUUGGGACGUAGGUUUAAGUCCUACUACUCCGACCA
rnacentral:tRNA from 1 species